UCUGAGGAAAAAAAAAAGAGAAAGACCACUAAAUUAUUAUAAACAUGCACAAAAUUAAAUUUUCUGAAAUAACACUUGACAAUCUUGCCUAAAAAGAAGUAAGCAGGAAAGUGGUCAGUUCCAGUGCUCUUGACUAGCACGGACAAAUAGGAGCACUGAGUUUUUGGCAGGUUGGAAAAGGAGCUCAAACAGCAACCUUCAGCACAGGGCUCAGCUGGGAAGGGUCCAAAGGAGAACAGCAAGGACCCUGGCAGUUCCUAAAGGGACUCAUAAAGGAAACUGACAGAUUGCAUUGGCCUAAUCUGAGGAAGAAGAUGAAGAUGGUGAUGUGAUAAAUCUGCAAGUACGUGAUCUGGGGCCUUUUAAUACUAAAAUGUGACCUCUGUUUUACAGCAAACCGAACCCUAUGAGCAGAAUUAGUGCUCAAAUCUGUUGUUUGAGCUGAAAUAGCCAUGUAGGUGGCAGUCCAGAAUUCAUCCAGGCCAGCAGACAGGAGCAGACAAGGCCACAGUUUCAAAGUGGAAACCAAUACAUAAAUUUUUGCUGGAUCAAAACAAAAACAUUAUCAACAUCCUAACAUUGGGAAUAAACACUGCAGUGCAUACACUUCUGUCAAACAUAUUAUAACAUUAACAUUUAUUAAUGUGAAUAUAUGCCACUGGAUAAAUGAAGUAGGCACUUGAUGAGUUUGAUGUUUUUUCCAAUCAAAUAUCUGGAAAUUAAAGUAAAACUUAAAAAAAAAAUUGAGAAAGAAGAUGCCUGAAAAGAAAAUUCACCUUUACAAGGAGCAAGAUGAUGUUUUCUUUACUUCAAAAUUUUACUGUUCUGCAAAGGAUACAGUGAUGAUUUAAUUACCAAAAAAAAAAAAAAAAAAAAAAAAAACAACAAAAAAAAAAACCAAAAAAAAUAGAGCAAAUAGUAUAAAGUUAUAGAGCAUAAUUUUUCAAAAUCAAGUUUUCAGUAAGGCCUGGCAUACACUUCCUUGUAGAAUUUUCUUAUCAAUUUUGUGCAUUCCACAAAUAUUUGGGAUUACAUCAGGUUUUGCUACCCUCACAGUUCAGCCUAAUUUCCUGUUUGAUCAAACUGGGGAGAAAUGACAGGAUUUUGUUUAACAAUAGUUCUGUGCUAACACAGGCCCAGGAUUAUGAAACUCCUGAAGGACAAGGCAGCACAGAGGGUGUCCAUGGUGUUAAGGAAGCUUUGAUCAGGUACAGUGACCUCAACCACAGCCAGGAAGUGCUGACUGUUGCAGCUGUUACUAGCAAACAAACAAGGAAACGUGGGAUAAGGAGGAAGGAGUGUCUGAAAACUUCAAAACUAAAUAAGUGAUCAAAAGCAUAAAACCCAAGCCAAAAUCCCAACCCAAACCCACAUUUAAAAAGCUGUUCUGCAGAAGAUUUUCUCAUGACUGAAAGUGCCCAUUUCAGGCCAAUCCCUGGAUACUGCAAUUUUCUGUAACUGCUGUUUUCACUUACUUGGGGAGUCUGGAUUCUUUGAAGACUGUGGUUUCACAUCAGGGAUUGCAACAUCAUCUUGUUCCCUGCUCCCUUCCAGCAAUCCAUCCCCACUGUUUUCUGUCUGUUGGGUCCACACCUCCUUAGCUGUGUUGUUGGUA